UACGUAGGGUGCAAGCGUUGUCCGGAAUUAUUGGGCGUAAAGAGCUCGUAGGCGGUCUGUCGCGUCUGCUGUGAAAACCUGGGGCUUAACCUCGGGCCUGCAGUCGAUACGGGCAAACUAGAGUACUGCAGGGGAGACUGGAAUUCCUCGGUGUAGCGGUGAAAUGCGCGAUAUCAGGAGGAACACCGUGGCGAAGGCGGGUCGCUGGGCGUAUACUGACGCUGAGGCGCGAAAGCCAGGGGAGCGAACGGG
rnacentral:rRNA from 1 species